rnacentral:rRNA from 1 species
UACGUAGGGGUCCGAGCGUUGUCCGGAAUUACUGGGCGUAAAGAGCUCGUAGGUGGUUUGUCGCGUUGUUCGUGAAAACUCACAGCUUAACUGUGGGCGUGCGGGCGAUACGGGCAGACUAGAGUACUGCAGGGGAGACUGGAAUUCCUGGUGUAGCGGUGGAAUGCGCAGAUAUCAGGAGGAACACCGGUGGCGAAGGCGGGUCUCUGGGCCGAUACUGACGCUGAGGAGCGAAAGCGUGGGGAGCGAACAGG